rnacentral:lncRNA from 1 species
CAGGAGAAUCCUUUCCAACGCUCCGAGCCUCAGUCUCCUCGUGUGUGAUGUGGGAAAUGCCAACUAUCGCACCCUGGAGGUGUUGUGAGGAUCCAAGGAGCGAGGCUACGCGAAUCGCUGGGCACAGGGCCUGGCAGAUUGAGAACCAGGAGCUCGCUGCUAAGUUGUCAGAGCCUUGGGAAUGAAUACAAAGGAGGGAAAGGACAGGUUUCUCUCCACCUCUUCUAUUUUAAAAGUACUCUUGCUUGAGUACACCACAGUAGAGGCUGCCAACUCGAACACUUGCAGGGUGGGGGUCGCGCCAGCCAAGGGCAGCCGUAGGGGCUCCGCCUGGAGCUGAGCCCGUGCCCUCCAGCCCCCGGCGGCCAGUGGGAAGGGCAAAUCUUCCAGUUUUUCUUGACAGGCUAGAAAGCUGAUUUUCUCUAAGAUAACUUUCAAUUAUUUAUUUAUUUGGUACCAGGGAUCAAACUCGGGACCUUGUGCUUGGAAGGCAAGCAGCAGAACCACUGAGCUAAAUCCCCGGACCUUCUGUGCCAGUCUGCUAUCUGCUCUGGCCCCCAGUAAUCUUUUUUCCAAAGUCAUGCGCACAUAGUAGUCAAACAAGUACGGCAGAAAAGAAAAGAAGAUCUCUCCUGGUCAAACCAUGGGCGGGGAGCCCGGAACUCUCUUGGCCUGAUCUGCUCAAAUCUGCCUUGAGCUCCUUGAAGAAAGCCUGCAGAGCCCUGGGCCACAGUUCCCACAGAUGGUGCUGCUAUAAUUAGACGCUUGUUUCUGGGUGAUUCUACUGUUCCUAUAAGAAGACACCUUGCCUGGUGCAGAAACGCAUCACUGAAGUUUGCCUUUAUUUUUCAAUUUGGGCCACAAUCUCUUACUCUUUACCCUCAUGUAUUAGCAGCAUCUGUGGGGGAAAGUGAAUGAUUCAUGUGUCUCUCGAGCUAAUAUGAGCUUGGACAUAAAUGGGAGGCCUUGGCCCUCUUUGUUCUCGGAUCCUAGUGCCAAUUGGAAUUACCCGCUGCUGCCAUUCUCCUCCUCCACAGAGGUGCUUCCUGGGCCCCCAGCCAAGCCAGGCUCCCUGUAAUCUCAUCUUACCCUGCGCCUUCUCUGCUAUCAGUGUUUUCCACUUGUAAUUAUGUAUUUAUCUGUGUGAUGCUUAGACUCAUGCCUGUUUCAUCUCCUGUACCAUACGCUUGCUCCACAGAGAAGGAAGGGGGCUUAAGAAGGGAACAUCUGUGAGAUGCAAAAGCCCAUGGGAAAGCCACCAUGGGUGUGGGAAUCGAGG